AGAGCGAACGCUGGCGGCAGGCCUAACACAUGCAAGUCGAACGGACCCUUCGGGGUUAGUGGCGGACGGGUGAGUAACACGUGGGAACGUGCCUUUUGGUUCGGAAUAGCUCCUGGAAACGGGUGGUAAUGCCGAAUGUGCCCUUCGGGGGAAAGAUUUAUCGCCAUUAGAGCGGCCCGCGUCUGAUUAGCUAGUUGGUAAGGUAAUGGCUUACCAAGGCGACGAUCAGUAGCUGGUCUGAGAGGAUGACCAGCCACAUUGGGACUGAGACACGGCCCAAACUCCUACGGGAGGCAGCAGUGGGGAAUCUUGCGCAAUGGGCGAAAGCCUGACGCAGCCAUGCCGCGUGAAUGAUGAAGGUCUUAGGAUUGUAAAAUUCUUUCACCGGGGACGAUAAUGACGGUACCCGGAGAAGAAGCCCCGGCUAACUUCGUGCCAGCAGCCGC
rnacentral:rRNA from 1 species